CUUCCUUGAUCUGUGUCGCGCGCCCGAGCCACACUCCGACCGUUUCUCCUUCUCUUCCCAAAACUGACGCGUCGCCCGCUGCUCGCGUCCGUUUCUUCCCCUCCGGUGCAAAGGCAGUGGCCAAGGGAAAGCCUUGCACAUCUCCAGCUUCUCUCGAGCCUCACCUUUCCUCUUCCUCUUCUUCGAUUCCCCUCGGCUUAGCACCGUGCCCUAGCCGUCUCUCGCCGCACAUCCAUGCUUUUGGUUCCCCCAUCGCACCGAUCAGCGGCCACUGGCCUUGUCGCCAACGGUGUUUCCCUCACUGUGGUCACCCCUUUGUGGCUCCCUGUGCCCUAGGCGUCUCUCGCUCAUCGACGGCUACUAUCACCGCCGAUCAGCCGGCACCGCCCGACACCUCCUAGCGUAGUCGACGCCUCUCCACUGAACGCCGAAGACCACAGCGGGUGCCUAGGUGUCACCCUAGUUUCAGAUCGCUGAUCACAAGAUUCGCUAAGUCAUGCCCUAAUCACUGCUUGCCGCCACCAGUUCCAGCAAGGAGGAAGAACUUGGCAUUAUUACAGUUUUCUGUAGUUUCGGCAGAAGAUCGUUGGCUGUAAUAUUCUCCAGCAAGCAGUUUUUUUUUGGCAUCUGUUUUACUUGGCUGUGGAUCAACAGGAAAGGUUUUGGGUUGAAGGUAAGGUGUUAGGAAUUUUGGUUCUUGCUAUAGCUCAAAUUCGAACUAAUGGUUGGGCUAGUCACUGUGGCACCAGUCACUGUUUUCUGACAGCUCACAUAUCUGGUAGUGACCUAACAGUUGGGCACUCAGUUUUGGGGCUUAUUGAUUUGCUGCGGUGAUUCGGCUAAGGAUUAGAAAGAAGUGAGGACUCUGAUUCGGGACGAGCAUCUCGACGUCAGAUUUGGAUCGGAUUAGAUCCUUUCUUUU